rnacentral:lncRNA from 1 species
UGUCCUGUCAUACGAACAUGGUAGAAAUUUAUAUAACAAUAGUAUAUAGAGUGGCCUAAAUACAUUCAGUAACAAACUAAAUAAAAAUUAAAACUUCAACUCUUCAUUUGUAUUCAUGCUUCAUGUUAUCAACUUACAAGGUGUACCAGUUGUGUACCUGAUAUUAGAAGCAAAAGUAGAAGAGUAGUGAUCAGCAGGAUAGCAGUAGCAAUACACAGCAACAACAAACAACCAGUAGCACUAAUGCAGUAGCCCAGAAACCGAGUUUGAAAACAGGUGGAGCAGUAACCCAAAAACCAACCAGACUUAGGAAAAACCAAGCGAAGACCCAGAAAUCCCAAUAACUCUUACAGGCAGGACAUAAUGAACCCAAAAAGACAGAAUAUGCAACAGGAUAAUUCUGAUUUUUUGUUCUUUAAGACUCGGAGUAGAACACAAUCAAACUACUGACUCUCUAUGAUUUUUGAAAUUUAGUACUCUUCUCUCAAUCCUCAACUCUCAACAUUAUAAGUCUAUUUUUAUCUGCUCUUUAGUUCCGAAAUUUCUCUCUUCGAAUUCCUCUCCCCUUUUAAGUAAAAAAUGACUCCUAUUAUAUACCAAAAGCAAGGACCCUUUAAUUAUUAUUCCUCCCAUUUUAUUAUUACCUACUAUUUCUAAUUCCCAAUCAGCAAAAGCAGUCAAACGUUGACCCCACACUCCACCCUCUUUUUACUUUACAUCAUUAUGCUCCCCACAUGUCUUGUCCCCUCUUUUUAAUUUACAUAAUUAUGUUCCCCACUAUAUUUUAAACAAUUCCUCAUAUUUUCAAUUCCCAUAUUACCCCUGAAACUACUGAAAUUAUUAUCCUAAAAAUCUGUUCAAAUUUCACAAAUUAUCUAAGAACUAAAGCCAGAUUACCAGCUAUAACCAAUUCACCUAAUCAAGUAAUCAAAAUACAGCAGCUAUAACUAAUUCCUAACCAAAGAAUCAACAAUUCAAACUAUAUGAUGAACAACCAAGAACCAAUUAAAAUUAUUUUGACUGAACAAUAUUUUUAACAACAAAUAUACUUUCAGAUUCAACAAUAAUAACAAACAAGUAAAUUAAAAUUACUAAACUCAGAUUCAAAUUUAGACUUAAACAGAAUAAUAAAACAGAUUCAACUCACUAACUUAAUAAUCAAUUAAACUUUAAACUAAAUCUAACAAUAUUACAAUCAAGAUAAAGGAUUCAAGUGAUUAAACCAAAACAUUUCUAUAUUAAAACUAAAUUCUUUUAAAUGAGUAAAAACAAACCGAACUCAUAUGCAAGAAAUGAUAAACAACGAACAAGAAAAAGUAUCAAAUGUCACCUGAUUUUAGAUCCGAUAAUAUCAAAUAAAAUACGGAUAAAACAACAAAAAAAAAGAACUUAAGCCAACUAACCGGAUCGGAACAACGAUGAACUCGAACGGAAACCAAUAUGCUCAGAAAAUUUUGAAACCAAAAUAACUCGAAUAUGCUCGGAAUCUGAACAACGACCUCGAAGUUAAGAAAUCUUUGAACGGAAGUAACAACCAACAAACAAACCUGGAUUUGAAGACGAACGACCUUGAUUAUCUAGUCCAUGAACUGGAUGACGAGAAACAACAUGUGGUUUGCUGCUUGGAACGAAGAAGAAGAUGGAGCAGCAGUAGUGACUGUUUGGUCAUGCAUGGAGAAGCAUCAGCAUCAGCAGGUUGUCGUUUGGUUGCUGCUGUCGCUGGUGACUGGAAGUUUAGGGUGGUCGAUGAAGGGAGAUGGGGAUGAGCUGGUGCUCGACGUGGGUCUGUCCGGUGUUUAGUGGAGGAGUGAUAUGGUCGUUUGGAGGGUCGUUCAUGGCUGGAACAGUAGGGUUGUUGGUCGACGUAGGGUUGUUGGUCGAUGAGGAGAAGAUGGGCUGGAGGGGUCGUUUGGCGAUGUUGAUGACGGGAAGGGCAUGGGGUUGUUUGGGAGUGGGGUGUUGUGAGGAAGAUGAAGAGGGAGGGGGGUGUUUG